rnacentral:rRNA from 1 species
CAAAGGUAGCAUAAUCAUUAGGUUUUUAAUUGAAAUCUGGAAUGAAGGGUUGGACAAAGGAAAAACUGUCUUUAAGAUAAAAAUUAAAUUUUACUUUUAAGUGAGAAGGCUUAAAUAUUUCAAAGGGACGAUAAGACCCUAUGAAGCUUUAUAAGAUAAUAAAUUUAAUUAAUUUAAGUGACUAAAAAUUAGGUUAAGUUAUCUUAUUUUAUUGGGGCGAUUUGAGUAUAAUUAUAUUUAACUGCUUAAGUAUAAUACAAUUGUAAAUGAGUAAAAUAUAAAUGAUCCUUUAUGUAGAUUAUAAAAAUAAGUUACUCUAGGGAUAACAGCGUUAUUUCUUUUAAGAGUCCUUAUCGAAAAAGAAGUUUGCGACCUCGAUGUUGAAUCAAAAUUUCUUUAUAGUGCAGCCAUUAUAUAAGAAGGUCUGUUCGACCUUUAAAUUUUUACAUGAUUUGAGUUCA